rnacentral:rRNA from 1 species
GACGAACGCUGGCGGCGUGCCUAAUACAUGCAAGUCGAGCGAAGUUUUUCUGGUGCUUGCACCGGAAAAACUUAGCGGCGAACGGGUGAGUAACACGUAAAGAACCUGCCUCAUAGACUGGGACAACUAUUGGAAACGAUAGCUAAUACCGGAUAAUAGCAUUAACUGCAUGGCUGAUGUUUAAAAGUUGGUUUUGCUAACACUAUGAGAUGGCUUUGCGGUGCAUUAGCUAGUUGGUGGGGUAAAGGCCUACCAAGGCGACGAUGCAUAGCCGACCUGAGAGGGUGAUCGGCCACACUGGGACUGAGACACGGCCCAGACUCCUACGGGAGGCAGCAGUAGGGAAUCUUCCGCAAUGGGCGAAAGCCUGACGGAGCAACGCCGCGUGAGUGAAGAAGGAUUUCGGUUCGUAAAGCUCUGUUGUUAGGGAAGAAUGAUUGUGUAGUAACUAUACACAGUAGAGACGGUACCUAACCAGAAAGCCACGGCUAACUACGUG